UGAUACCAAGGGUCAAAAGGUCAUAUUUUUCAUGCUUGCAUGAAAAAAUAUGACUUUGGGACCCGCAAAACAUGAGAAAGGAGCCCGACAGGGCGGAUUUCGAAUGUUUUAGGAUUGCGGGAGCACGAAGUGCGAAGCGAUCCGUAGGUAUCA
rfam:Anaerobium acetethylicum strain GluBS11 genome assembly, contig: Ga0116910_1008